UACGUAGGGUGCAAGCGUUGUCCGGAAUUAUUGGGCGUAAAGAGCUCGUAGGCGGUUUGUCGCGUCGAAUGUGAAAAUCCGGGGCUCAACCCCGGACUUGCAGUGGGUACGGGCAGACUAGAGUGUGGUAGGGGAGACUGGAAUUCCUGGUGUAGCGGUGAAAUGCGCAGAUAUCAGGAGGAACACCGGUGGCGAAGGCGGCGACCUGGGCCAAUAUUGACGCUGAGGUGCGAAAGCGUGGGGAGCAAACAGG
rnacentral:rRNA from 1 species